GACGAACGCUGGCGGCGUGCUUAACACAUGCAAGUCGAACGGAAAGGCCCUGCUUUUGUGGGGUGCUCGAGUGGCGAACGGGUGAGUAACACGUGAGUAACCUGCCCUUGACUUUGGGAUAACUUCAGGAAACUGGGGCUAAUACCGGAUAGGAGCUCCUGCUGCAUGGUGGGGGUUGGAAAGUUUCGGCGGUUGGGGAUGGACUCGCGGCUUAUCAGCUUGUUGGUGGGGUAGUGGCUUACCAAGGCUUUGACGGGUAGCCGGCCUGAGAGGGUGACCGGCCACAUUGGGACUGAGAUACGGCCCAGACUCCUACGGGAGGCAGCAGUGGGGAAUAUUGCACAAUGGGCGGAAGCCUGAUGCAGCAACGCCGCGUGCGGGAUGACGGCCUUCGGGUUGUAAACCGCUUUCGCCUGGGACGAAGCGUGGGUGACGGUAAUGGGUAAAGAAGCACCGGCUAACUACGUGC
rnacentral:rRNA from 1 species